rnacentral:rRNA from 1 species
CCUACGGGAGGCAGCAGUGAGGAAUAUUGGUCAAUGGACGAGAGUCUGAACCAGCCAAGUCGCGUGAAGGAUGACUGCCCUAUGGAUUGUAAACUUCUUUUAUAUGGGAGUAAAACAGGGUACGUAUAUAAUCUUGUAUGUACCAUAUGAAUAAGGAUCGGCUAACUCCGUGCCAGCAGCCGCGGUAAUCCGGAGGUUCCGAGCGUGAUCCGGAUUUAUUGGGUUGAACGGGAGCGUAGGUGGAGUGUUAAGUCAGUUGUGAAAGCUUGCGGCUCAACCGUUAAAUUGCAGUUGAAACUGGCAGGCUGGAGUACAGUAGAGGUGGGCGGAAUUCGUGGUGUAGCGGUGAAAUGCGUAGAUAUCACGAAGAACUCCGAUGGCGAAGGCAGCUCACUGGACUGCAACUGACACUGAGGCUCGAAAGUGUGGGGAGCAAACAGGAUUAGAUACCCGGGUAGUC